rfam:Halorubrum sp. J07HR59 genomic scaffold scf7180000001382, whole genome shotgun sequence.
CCCGUGGGAACGGGACGAAAUGUGGCCUGUCUGAGCCGGGCUCCACGGUGAACCCCCGACUCUCAAUCAGGCUGAAUCGCAAG